rnacentral:lncRNA from 1 species
AAAAUACUUUAGGAGCCUAGAUACUUGAACAUUUGAUAGUUUGUACCUGAAAUAGUAUAUUUUAGGCUAACGUGUUUAUUUUUCUCCUAGCAACUGUAAUAUUUCCAAUUUACGUAUUUAAAAUUUUAUACAACAUUUCCCAUUAGAAGAGGCCUCAAUCAAAAUACGGAAUGAGCUAUAUUCGUGAAAACUUAAUCGAUUAUUUUCUUUAUGAAAAUAAUACACAAUUUGAGUCAAACUACUUAAUACUUCUGGAUUAUUUUAUUUUUUACGAAUCAACAUAAACUCGACUUUGGAGCAAAGUAUCCAUAUUCCGGAACGCAUUCAUAUGACCAGCAGCUACAUGAUAUUGACUAAAUCAAGGUUCAAUUUGUCACAAAACAACUACAGGUUCUCAAAACCACAGUGAAACCGGCGUCGAAUCUCUAACCAUGUCACGCAUAUAUUGAUAUCUACCUAUCAAUCUUGAUGAAAACUACGAGGAAAAGAUGAAAAAUAAUCUCAUAGACUGCAAAGAUGUCUACAUAUUUAAGUUUAUGAGUAAUAGAAACUUCAGUCCUGAAGUUUUGAUUUUAAAAAAACAAAAAAACGGAAAGUAAUUAUUAUCUUUAAAAAAACUAAACAUUUUCGUUUCGAUUGUUUAUAUUUAAAAUACUAUUUAAGAAAAAACAACCAAUAAGUGUUCAUAUAUAUACCAGUUUCCUCUUAAGUAAAGGAUUACAUUCAGAAGAUCUUCCCUCAUUGAAUCCCUCUGGUCAUUAAAAUGAACUUGAUAGCAGAGAACAAUCCUUCGACAUUCACAUGUGAGGAUGGCAUUGGCAUUAUUGUGUACGCAAGAGCACAAACGUCCGAGGAAGGCAUGGAAGGAUCUUUGUUAAUGUCGUCAAAGGCUGUUUUUCUUCGGAGUCGAACCCAAUUAUCGAAAUUGAUGAUUGUAUCCUUCAAUGCUAUUUUUUUUUGA